rnacentral:rRNA from 1 species
CGCGUAGGCGGUUAGAUAAGUUGGGUGUGGAAGCGUUCGGCUCAACCGGACAAUUGCGCCCAAAACUGUCCAACUUGAGCACGGUAGGGGAGAGUGGAACUCCUGGUGGAGCGGUGAAAUGCGUAGAUAUCAGGAGGAACGCCGGCGGCGAAGGCGACUCUCUGGGCCGUUGCUGACGCUGAGGCGCGAAAGCUAGGGGAGCGAACG